rnacentral:rRNA from 1 species
GGGAAGCAAACAGGAUUAGAUACCCUGGUUAGUCCACGCCGUAAACGAUGAAUGUUAGCCGUCGGCAAGUUUACUCGUCGGUGGCGCAGCUAACGCAUUAAACAUUCGGCUUGGGGAGUACGGUUCGCAAAGAUUAAAACUCAUAGGAAUUGAUGGGGGCCCGCACUAGCGGUGGAGCAUGUGGUUUAAUUCGAAGCAACGUGCAGAACGAUACCAGCCCUUGACAUCCCGGUCGCGGGAUCCAGAGAUGGAUCCCUUCAGUUGGGCUGGACCGGUGACAGGUGCUGCAUGGCUGUAGUCAGCUCGUGUCUUGAGAUGUUGGGUUAAGUCCCGCAACGAGCGCAACCCUCGCCAUUAGUUGCCAGCAUUCAGUUGGGCACUCUAAGGGGACGGCCGGUGAUAAGCCGAGAGGAAGGUGGGGAUGACGUCAAGUCCUCAUGGCCCUUACGGGCUGGGCUACACACGUGCUACAAUGGUGGUGACAGUGGGCAGCGAGACCG